rfam:Citrus sinensis cultivar Ridge Pineapple sweet orange scaffold00054_contig_34, whole genome shotgun sequence.
GAUCAAGGGGAUGAUAUUUUCUUAUGUGAAUAUGAGUAUGACAUACAUUGGCAUAGUUUCAAGCGUAUAGCUGAUAUU